rnacentral:rRNA from 1 species
ACUUUCAACAACGGAUCUCUUGGUUCUCGCAUCGAUGAAGAACGCAGCGAAUUGCGAUAAGUAAUGUGAAUUGCAGAAUUCAGUGAAUCAUCGAAUCUUUGAACGCACAUUGCGCCCUCUGGCAUUCCGGAGGGCAUGCCUGUUUGAGCGU